GUAGUCAUAUGCUUGUCUCAAAGAUUAAGCCAUGCAUGUCUAAGUAUAAGCAACUUGUACAGUGAAACUGCGAAUGGCUCAUUAAAUCAGUUAUCGUUUACUUGAUAAUCCCUUACUACACGGAUACCUGUGGUAAUUCUAGAGCUAAUACAUGCUUCAAGGAGUGGCUUUCGUCACUCUGCACUUAUUAGAUAAAAAACCAAUGCCCCUUUGGGGCUCCCUGGUGAUUCAUAAUAAUUUAGCGGACCGCAUUCCCUCGAGGAGGCGGUGGAUCAUUCAAAUUUCUGCCCUAUCAACUUUCGAUGGUAGGAUAGUGGCCUACCGUGGUUUCAACGGGUAACGGGGAAU
rnacentral:rRNA from 1 species